UUCACCCACCAAUUCAUUCUUCUACCAUGUCACUAAUCCAAGUCUCUCAGUGCUGUCUUUACUCUUUUCUUGAAUACCUCCAGGGAUGAUGACUCCACCACCUGCCUGGGCAGCCUGUGCCAACUGCUCUUUCAGAGAAGAAAUUUUUUCGAUUAUCUGACCUGAACCUACCUGUUGCAACUUAAGGCCAUUACCUCUCAUCCUAUCACUGUUACCUGGGAGAAGAGGCUGACACCCACCUCACUACAGCCUUAUUCACAGUUGUAGAGAGUGAUAAGGUCUCCUUUGAGACUCCUGUUUAGCACUUGCACAGCCUGAGCUGGGCACAAGAGCAAACAAAAGAUCAAACAUUCCCUGAAGUGUGGUAGAAGGCAGGAAGAAUGACACUUGCUAAUUUGAAUUUCAGAACACACCUAAACCGCAUUCUGAUCUCCAGGAUAUUUGCAUGUUCAGACGCCGUCAGCACCUGGGAACCAGUGAGACUGAUAACCACAGAGCCUGCAUUUGGCCAUGACCCUGGUCUCUUCUCCUCCUCCACAGCCUUUUACUACAAGAUAUGGUGUGUUAUGAAGGCUUGCAUGGUAGGCUUGCUGAACAUUCACGAUAUGGACAAAGAAGAGAAGACUCAGGUUGCUGCUUGUGUACACUCCCAGGAGGUACAGCCGGGCUGUGCUGGGAGAAACCUAAAAGCAUUCAGCAUAGAGGCACACAGGAUAUUCUGGAAACUCCCAGGAGAUUUCUGUCUGAGCCGUGCAGAUACUCCCUCUCCCACAUCACAAUUCUAUUUUUAUUUCAAUGGCAGAAUACAGAAUUCAAACUGAACCCAGCUCUAGAUGUUCUUUUUUCCAUUUUUAAAAUAUAUCAGACUAAACUUUCCAGGGCUGAACAAGGCACGUGGAAUGUGAAACCAAGGCUGAGUUUUCCACGUGGACUCAAGAUCUAGUUAGAAAAAAGAACGUAUUAUGUAUAGUAGGAAAUGGGUACUUGACAAAAGAGGUGUGGUGUGUAUUUCUAGAGGCUUCAGACUGAAAGCUGAGCAGGUUGGUUUUGCGGUCCAGUCAGGGUGCGUUUCAAUAGUAAGGCUCCAGGUGUGCAUAUCUGAGGCAGAGAGCACAUAUUUCUUAAAUCCAUUUUUCUGUAUUUAUAACUUGAAGGUCUGCCAUAUACACCUAUAUACAUAUACAUACAGCAGGAUGUAUGUGGGAUUUGAAUGGAAUAUUAUCAAUGGAUGCAUAAAGUAGAGACAAAUUAUAAAAGAUUAUGUUGAAGGGAAAGGAGAUGGCCCUCAGGAGGGCAAGGAAGACAAGACAACCCAGGAGCAGCCUAACAAAGUCGCAGAGCCUGAGACAGCUCCAGAGCUCCAACACAAUUUUUCUUGGACCCUGUCAUCAUAAAUGUGUUGGCAUGUGGUGCAGUAGCUGGUAACGGGGAAUAAUAAUCAGAGCAGCAGUAAGUUGAGGUUUUGUAGUGCUCACCAUGAGGUUUCUCUUUCCUGUCGCAAAGUAUGUGUAUUUGUUUUUAGAAAUAACUUUAUAACCUCUCUCAAAUACUAUUUUUAGUGACACUGAUUUUGGAGAAAUCCUGUCAAGGAAGUAAAGCAACUUUUUAAAAUAUUCUUUUCUCAUCGUGCUAGAUGUUAUGAAGAGAAAAUGAGUCCCUAAUAGAUCAUUUAGAAGAGAUGUAUAUGCAUAGAUUUGUUCAAAGGCAAGUGUAAUAUUAUGAUAUCUUUUUCAAGCAUAAAUUUAUGAAUGUGAGUGCAAUUGUGUUGAAUGACUUGUGAAGAUUUGAGUACACAGUAACAGGAACAGGUAAAAUAUCAGCUGCUUUUAAUAAUAGGUAUGCUUCGUUACUCCCUAUUGUCUGCUAGAAUAGGAAAAGUGUUUUAAGAAAGCAAAGGAGUUUCAGUCCAAAUUCUGGGUAAACUCAGAACCUUGCCUUUCAACUGCUCAUGGAUUUCAGCCUCCUGAUUGCUAAGGUGCAGAAUUUCUAUUGGCCUUGAUAAUACUUCUCCACAAGAUGGAAAAGUCUAACAGCACACUUGUGUCAUUAAGGUAAUAUUAAGACCUGACAAUGGAGCACAUCACUGAUUUAAUCAGGAAUAUCUGUGUUGUUAUAACAUUAGAAUAAGAAGUUAUAAACUCUUGAAUGCUAUAACAAAGCGCGGAACAUAUGUUGCUAGUUAGGUUAGUGAGGCCAGGGACCACUUUGUGUCUUAAUGACCCAAGAUCUAAUUUUCAUUAUUUCAGCUUUCUGAGAGCCUCAGGAAUGUAUUGCACUCAGAUUGCUUAAAGGAUUUACCUUCAUAUGGUAUGCUGAUACAUAAAUUAAGACUACAGGUUUGUCCAUAACUGUGAUGUUACAAUGUAAAUGUCAUCAACAGCGUUAUAUAAAUAAUGACUGAAAAAUUCAGAGUGGGAGAGAAAGGGAAAAUAAUUGCUAUUCAUGAAAUAAUGGAUGUGCCAGAGAUAAGAGCUGCAACACAGAGAAAAGUAUUUUAUUUCAUUUUAUUUUAUUUUUUAAUGCUAAGAAACAGAAAACUGUUGAGCUGCAGUAACCUGAGAAGCCAGUGCAAUAUGGACUACUCACAAAGGCACUCGCAUUUUGUGGGUUUAAUUAAUAAUUAACUCGGAUCUUUUAUUUUGGAGCAAUGAAGUAUCUGGGCAGAAAGUAGAAGUCUACUGUGAGAGAUCUGUGAAGAGAGUAUAUAUCUCCAGUUUCCAUUCCUCUGAUGUAUUCAGUAGCAUACUGCCUAGCUGAAUUCUUGCUUUUGGCAAUCACUUUACUUUCAAUUUUCAUGUUUGAUUUACAUUAAAAUGACCUUAACAGAGGUACAUGUUUAUCACCACAUUCUAGGCAAUUGAGCACGCAUAAAAAGUUGCAUACUGGUUGAUAAUAAUGUUUUCUGUACAAUUUUUGUGAGAUCUACUAAUUCAAAAGUGUGUCCUAAAGCAGGAUCAGUAUAGAAGACACUAUUUAGUUGUUUAGCUAACCCCUUAAACUUUCUGACAAGCAGGAAAAUCUCUGUGGGUCUGUGACUCAUUGUCUGGUUGGCCUUACACACAGAAAUAUUUCUCUCACCUCUAACCUAAUUCUUCCUUAUUGCAAUCUUUUCCCCUUUUCAGGGUUGUGGGAAGCAAUUAAUUACCUUCUUUCACAAAGAAUAUUUCUAGGUUUUACCACCUCCUAGUUUACUCCCUCCUGGAUUAAUCAAGCUCAGGUCUCAUGCUAGAUCAUCUUUUUUGGAAGUUCACUCUCAUUUCUGUUCUUGGAACUUACUCUAGAUAUUUGAUAUAUUCCUUGACAUACUGUAAGCUGCAGCAAUCAUAUGGCUCCAGGUGGAGGAUUACCAACUCUGAGAAGAGUUGAAGGAGUGUUCUGUGUAUUUAGCAUAUAGCAUGCUUGUUUUCUUUAAUUCAGUGUUAUUGCUCCUUAUGCAGUUAUACAGUUUUAUUGUUUGUUUGUUAUUCAUUCCCACUCUUGAUUCUUUUCUGCACUGUACUUGUCUGGACAGUCAUUCUCUAACUUCUGUUUCUGCAGAUAUUUUUUUCUUGUGUUUGAGCAUGUGAAUUCAUUUGCUUAGCUGAGUUCGGAUUUCUAUUCUCCCAUUCACCCAAGUCAUUUCUGAUGUGUAGUCUAUGCUACAAAGAGUUUGCAUCUUUUUUUUUUUUUCCAACUAAAUGUUGUUUUCAAAAGCAAAAAGUAUCUUAAUUUAUCUAUCAGUUCAUUAAUAAAUGUCAUGCAGACAAAUUCUUGCAGAACCUGACCUGAUGUAUCUUGCUCAUUUGAAAAUGAGAAAGAUAUUAAAACUAUUCUUUGAAUGAGGUUUCCAGUUCCAAGUAAUCAUCCAAUUACCUGAAAUCUGCUUGUCUAUCGGGAUGUUCUUUGAGAUGUCAAAAGCCCAAAUUUACAUGUAUUACAGUGUUUAUUCUCCUCUAUCCUUACAUCUUGUGGUAUGCCAUGGAGAAAAAUAAUUUCUUUCUAAUGUAAUUUAUUUAUGUAAAGUUUAUUUUGGCUCUUACCAUGUCCAGAUUCUUUCAAAUAAAUCUGUUCAUUAUUUAUUCAUUACUUGUCUCAAUGCUGAAUUACAUCAUGCCUAGCCAAUAUGAAUGCUAUUAUAGAAUCUAUGUAGAUUCUACCAUUAUUCCUUCUA